rnacentral:rRNA from 1 species
ACGCUCGACACCUACUGGAGGCAGCAGUAGGGAAUCUUCCACAAUGGACGCAAGUCUGAUGGAGCAACGCCGCGUGAGUGAAGAAGGUUUUCGGAUCGUAAAGCUCUGUUGUUGGUGAAGAAGGAUAGAGGUAGUAACUGGCCUUUAUUUGACGGUAAUCAACCAGAAAGUCACGGCUAACUACGUGCCAGCAGCCGNGGUAAUCUGAGCGGGCUGGCAAGGC